UGAAGCAACCUCAUCGAGCGUCUUUGUUUACCACAUUUCACCGCGUCUGAUGGCCACAUUCAGUGUUUUUUAAAAAGUGUUGUGUAAAGGUCACCGAGAGUUAAGAUGUUAUACAUAAUGUUGAAGUGAGUUGACGGUAGUGUGGGUGAUUGGCGGCUAUUGUGGAGUGGUAUGUGGUUAAUAUUGUUGGUGAUGAAUUGGCGGGCAAGUGUGAGUGACGGAGUUUGUUAUAGGAAGCAAGUGUAGAGUACUGCUGGUGGUGGUAGUGUUGGUGGUGAUUAUGCUGCUGCUGUGUAUUAAGAUAAGUAAUGUUUUAUGUUUGUGUAAAUUGUUUGUUUGAGAGUUAUAGGGAGAGUAGUGUUCCGGGGGUGAAGAUAGUUUUUGUUUGAGGAGACAAAAAUAACUUUGUAUUAAGGUUUGAAACACGGAUCAAAUAAUGAAGGUCGCAUCCUAGACUUGUCAUUAUUAGUUUUAGGAAAAGUGUAUAUAUAAUGUGGGAGUAAUGUAUACAUUUGUGGUGUUUGAAGUCUUAAUAUGCGUAAUUGAGUUUUUUGUUUAUAUAUUUUUUUUAUAAUGGUGGGUAUUGAUAUAUUUUAAUAAUAUGUAUAAUUAUUUUAAGUAAGUUUAAGAUGUUCGAUGGGGCAAGUGUGAAUGUAUUUGAAGUGUUAUAAUUGAUAUGUUUAAUGAAUUUAUUUUAUA